AGUAAAUUUGUUUUUUUAUAAAUGAGGCCAGAUGUACAGAUUUUUGUCAGAUUUUAGCAUCCAUGUUCUGGCUGCUGCAUCCCAAUACCCUGCAGUUCGACUGAGCUGAGAACUUCACAGAACCCUAUGGGGAUCUAAAUUUGUUCCAUAGAGAGAUAGUAUAAGAUGACUGUUAGCAUCAUUCACAGAUUUGCAACUCUUUGAAGGGGAAAAUGUUACCAUUCAUCUUUCCAGUUUAGAACAGGUCUGUGUUACUGUGAUCAUUUCAUUGGUGGCGGGAAAAGAAUCGGAAGAUAAAUAUGUUUGUUCCAGAUCAGUCAUCCAACUUUUAAAGAGAAAACUUCAAUGGCUUAUAAAGUCAUUGAAUAGUUAAUUCUAGUUGCUCAGAAAAGACACAGAUUCCCCAGGGCUUACGCUUUAUCUUGGAAUUUAUUGAACUUUAAGCUACAACCAACAGGCUGGUUAAUAACAAUUCAUGCAGCUGUCAAUCUUUUUGAACAAUGUCAUCAAUAUUUCAUGCUGCCAAAUAACAACAAUUAAGAUGCCGGUCCGGAGGAAACACUUGGGGCAAAAGUGAUUCUAGAAAGAAAAUGCAAAAUCGACAAGCAACAGAGACGUUUCCGAUGGGCAUACAAAU